UACGUAGGGUGCGAGCGUUGUCCGGAAUUAUUGGGCGUAAAGGGCUCGUAGGCGGUUUGUCGCGUCGGGAGUGAAAUCCACUGGCUUAACUGGUGGCUUGCUUUCGAUACGGGCAGACUGGAGGUAUGCAGGGGAGAACGGAAUUCCACGUGUAGCAGUGAAAUGCGUAGAGAUGUGGAGGAACACCGAUGGCGAAGGCAGCCCCCCUGGGUCAAGAUUGACGCUCAUGCACGAAAGCGUGGGGAGCGAACAGG
rnacentral:rRNA from 1 species